UACGAAGGGUGCAAGCGUUAAUCGGAAUUACUGGGCGUAAAGGGUGCGUAGGCGGUUCGUUAAGUCUGUCGUGAAAUCCCCGGGCUCAACCUGGGGAUGGCGAUGGAUACUGGCGAGCUAGAGUGUGUCAGAGGAUGGUGGAAUUCCCGGUGUAGCGGUGAAAUGCGUAGAGAUCGGGAGGAACAUCAGUGGCGAAGGCGGCCAUCUGGGACAACACUGACGCUGAAGCACGAAAGCGUGGGGAGCAAACAGG
rnacentral:rRNA from 1 species